UGCUAAACAAGUAUAUUUGUAUUCUGCGUGCACGGAAAUAAAAAUUAUUGUAAAAGAAAACAGUGCUACUUUAAAUCAUUAUUUAUUGGCGUCGUUACUUCAAAACAGCGCUAAUAGAACCGCGUUAUUUCGAGGGGCUGUUGUAUUUAAGUUCUAAUAAGUUUUAACAAAACAUUAACGUAACAUUUUCUAUUAUUAAAAAGAUAAUUUAAUCUGUUGAUGUUAUCCCUGACUGUAGUUUACUAAAUGCAUAGAUGCGUUAUUUGCCACUACCGCAUCCUAGUCAGCCUGAAAGCUUCUGUUGUUUCCCACUACAGCUGUUGGCCUAUUGCUAACAUGCAGGAUGGCAUAAUAUAAACACUGGCUAAAUACUCGCGCAUCGGGGAUAUUUAAAUGUAAUAUAAACCACUGAAAUCUAUUAAAUGGGCUUAAGUAAAUACUCCCUAAAGGAACAGAAUAGUUAUUAAGGAAAGCAUAAUAUCUUUUAUUGAAUCAUCACAUUAUAAAUACGUUGAAUUAAAUUUAAUGGUACACAAGUACUAUUGCGCACGGAAAUUAAAUAUUAACAUAAAUUAAUAAAAAACUCUACUUCGUAUCUAUGACUGUGCUACUGUACUUCAAAUAAUGCCUUAAUUUACUGGGUUGUUACUGCAUAACCGAACAAAUUUAAUAACAUUAAUUCGAGGGGACAGGUGACAAAAAAUUCAAUAAAUGGACAGCAUUAAGCAGAAAGGAACCAACCCUCAAAAGUGAAAUAUUUAGAACAUCACCUUACACAUUUUAUUAAAAGGAACCAACCUGCUGGAUAAUAUUUUUAUUCUACCUUGAAUAUUAUACUGAAAUGUACCUGCUCUUACAACAUUCAGCCGAAUGGAACCAUGUUUGGUUCUGUUUAACUUAAUGCAAAAAAUUUAUUUAUAUUUUUCAGCAAAAGGAAUUAGGAUUAGUUGGUUCUGUUUUGUUGAAUAAAUGUUGGUACUACCUGUGUUCAGAUGUUUGUACCAAGUGAAGUUUGUUCCUUUGUGUGAAUAGUAUUUAUACUUAGUUAUUGUUACAGUAUUAUUUUAUGCACCAAUAUAUUAUUAUAAUUACUUCAUAGUGCUACAUUUGUAAUGUCAAGAGGAAAAUUAAUGAAAGAAUUGGCCAAGAAAUUAAUUGAAGGUAAGGUUCUAAAAAGUUAUAACAUUUACAUCCAUAUCGACAUUAUAACUUUCUAGAAAAUGCUCAUAUUAAAGUUAAGGUACUGUUUAUUGUAGUAUAAAACAGCUGUAAUUAAUUGUUUUAUGCAUGACAGAUUAAAAUAAUUUAAUAAAAAAUUAAACAUUUAAAUGCUAACAAUAUUGCAGUAAGUAUAGAGAUAAUAUUAGUUAUUAGAGUAAGUUAAAACAUAAUGUGAAUUAAUUUAAUCCUAACGGCUGUACCAUUUCAGACAUGUUGAAUUGUUCAAAAGAAAUAUCAAUGUAUUUUUUUUCAUUUUUAACAAUAUUAAAAAUACUGCCUGUUCACUGUUUCUUUUUGAGCAGAAAAAUUUGGUUUUUCAGAGAAAAUUCUUCUUGCUGUGUUAAAACCAUCUAAUAUUUACAGACAAAAUUGAUUUUGAAAUCACAGCAGACCUACUGCCUAAUAUUGAUAUAACACCAAAACCACCAGACCUGGUAGCAACUCCAUCCUCAGACAUGCCUCAAGGAACAGAAACAGAUGCUGUAGACAUUUGCCCAACACCAUUAUUAAAUUCUGAUAGUGAAGAUAAACAGAAUAAUGAAUAGCUAGCCGCAUCUUGGAGUGACCAUCUUCCGGAUGUUCUACAAAGGGAUCACUUUUCAUCAUUAUUGGGAAAUGAUAUUACCAGUAUCAGAACUUCAAAGAGAUACAAUAGAUUUUUCCACAGAGAUUCUACCUGAAUUACCUGAUGUUCCUAUUGUGCUUUACCAAGAACCCAUCUCAAUAUGUGAAACCCCGUGCAAGAAUGAUUCAUUUGACUAUUCUCAUUAGUAAACACCUCAGGGAGUGUAUUCUUUAUAUCGACGUUUCAUAAAGACAGUCACAAUGAUUGUCUUUAUGAUAAAGAGAGCUACAAAGAUACUUACUUGUAACUAUCUUUAUGUCAUAUUCUGUAAGUAGUAUCUUUAUUGAUAUCUUUGUUUAGUAAUGAAUGCUUGGCAACACCGCAGGCACCGCUCCGAAAACACGAAAAUUGACUAACCGAAACAAUAUUUCUGGCUGUUUCCUUCUAUCUUGCUUGCAUCCUUCCUUUUCGGCGGAGCAAGGUAGUAUGUAUAAACUGUAAACAUGGAAAAGAAGUUUCGCGCUAGAAAGACCACUUUGAAGCAAUUUGAAGUAAUGCUGGAUUUUAUGCGAAUGCAUCCAGAAUUUUUGAGAGGGAAGUUUUCGGCGACUUUCACAAAAAUUAAAGAAGAGAGAAUGUGGGCCGAAUUAACAGAGAAGGUGAAUUGCCUGGCAUGUGGUCCGCCAAAAUCAAUUUCCCAGUUACGAAAGUCAUGGACACUGUGGAAAGCUGCAACAAAAAAGAAGGCCAGGAAUAUUAAGGCACAUGCUAUGGGCACAGGAGGGGGAGGUCCUUUGAAAGAAAUCCUAAACCCACAGGAAGAGCAGCUCCUGGAACUUAUUGGCAAGGAGUGUGGAUGGAAUCAGUGGUGUUCCUGCUUCUGGUGAUUUCAGUUACGAACAUGUAUCCAUGGAGGACCCUCUACAAAUGGAUGUAUUGGACAAUGAUACAGAUUGUUUGUCUUCUGGUGUGUCUCGUCCUGUAGAAGAUGAAUCGCGUCAGUUGGAAACACUUGAGUCAUCCACAUCUCAGACGACAAGGUCUAAGCAUGUUUCUGGUAGGUAAACAAAAGGACAAGAAAACAAUGUAUAAAUCUGCAUCAGAUUUGGCUAGGGAGGAAAUAGUUAAUCUUGAAAAGGCAAACCUGGAAGAGAGAAGACAAAUGAGAGUUGCUUUAGAAAGGUUGGCAGCAGCACAGGAGAAGAUUGCUGAUGCCCAACUUCGCAGGGCAGAAGUUGCAGAAAAGAAACUUGCCUUGCAAGAAAGUUUAUACUCAUAAUUUUAUUUAAUAAAAUUAACACUCCAGUA